CAUUAAUAAUGCUUAAGUUUGUUAUGUUGUUUUCUUUUCCUACUACAUCCUAGAGCUAAGACUUUGCAAAUAUAUCACAGGAAGAAUUUAUGUUUUUCCUGGCUCAGCCAGUUGAAUGAUUGAAUGAAAGACAGAAAGUGGUAAAACACACUAGAAUUUCUGUCUUGUUAUGCAAAUUGUAGGCUCACUUUUUCUGCUUGUCUUAUCUAUAAACCAGCCUCUUCUUAAUUUUAAAUGCCAACACUCUUAAGAUAGAUGGAUGGACUGACAUUACCAAUAACAUGCCUGGUGGACUUGCUAUUUUUUCAGAGCUGGUCAUUUAAAGCAGAUAUGAAAGGCUUUCCUCCUGUGAUAGUUGAGGAGGACACCAUCAUUGUCACUGCUUGUCUACUAAAGUAUGAAAGAAGUGAGAAUAAGAGGAGAAAAGUUAAAUUAUGUUGGGAGGUGAUUCAUCAGAGAACUUGCAACUACCAAGCAAGAACCAAAAUGCAAAGCAUUGGCCAGCUUUUCUGCUCUGGCAAAGAACUUCUUAUAUAAUCUGGAUCUGAAGUUUCCUAGAAUGAACUUGCAUUUUCUGAAAUUUCCUUCAUAGAGAAUAUCACCAUUUAAUAAUAAACAGUAUAAUAUAUCUAAAC
rnacentral:lncRNA from 1 species